AGAAAAGAAAUUCAUGUGAAAUUAGAAUUUCAUAUCAACAAGAUCAAAACAGAAGAUGCAUUUUGAGAUGUUAAUUUUUAUAAGACACUGUUCUGAACUCAGGGUAUAAAAUGAAGCAUAUGGCCUUCUGAUUCUCAAGCCCGAACUGUAGACCUUAGCCAUGGACUCAGGACAAUUCCUGUGGUAGGAAUCUUGUGGCUUGACACCAGAAGAAACGAUUUUGCAGAUGCUUUAAGAGGACAUGCCCAAUAUGACUCCGUUUUGGGUGUAGUUACUGCACAGAACUCCAGAUGUCAAAACAGAUUUGUGUUGUGUUUCUAUGCUAAUACAUCUCUGCAGGGUUAAUUUAAGAAUACUGACUCCUUUUCUGUUGCUCAAACUAACUGUAAGAGUGAUUAGCAGAUAUCUGGAUUGAUUAAUGUUUCAGUGUUUUUGUCAUUUCUUUAGGGAAAGCAGAAUGCAGCAGUGUAGCACUGAGUACGAGGAAAUUGUAAUGAAUAGUACUGACUUCUAAAUUACCUUUAAACAUUUUACCCUAGUUUGAUUUUUUUUUCAUAAAAAGUUUAGGAUUUCAUAAUCAUGAUGGUGGUUUUUUUUAAUAACAGGAUAGCUCCCCUCCUACGUUUAAUAAGCUUAUAUUGAAUGUGUGCUGUGUACACAAACUGUUUAUAAACCCUGAAAUUGAGAAUAAAGAGUAUGGACUACAGGAGCAUGGUUUUAUGGGACACACAUUCAUCCUCUGAAAAAGCUCACAGACCUGGGGGAGUAGGGGGUGGCAGUGAACAAUUAUAAAUAGGAACAUGCUAAGGACUGUAACUCAGAAACUAACAGCUAUGGGAAAGUAGAGUGCAAGCUCCAUGAAGGCAGAAAUGAUUCUGUCUUGUUUGCUGCUGUAGUCCCCACUGCCUGAUAAGAGCAGAUACUCAACAGAUGUGUUGAUUUUAUGGUUAAUUCUGCCUGGGGUUUUACAGUGGAGUAACAUUUGAACUAAGCUUUAAAGAGUAAGUAAGAUUUUCUUUAUCAAGAGUAAAGAAAAUUCUAGGAAGAGACAACAACAGGGACAAAAGAAUGCUAGUGUUUGGCUACCUUCUGGUAACUGAGGGUAGCUACAGCAUGGGGAUGGUCAUGGUAGGGCCUAGUGGUGAGAGGUUGAGCCAGUGGAUAUUAAAAUGGGACAGCAAGCAGAGGCUGUCUUUACUACUUCUUGCCUAUUUUUGAAAUUCCUUAUAUCUUGAAGAUUCCCGAUACAGACGAGAACAAUAUGACUUACUCACAAACAAGAUGAAUAGUUGAUCUUCAACACAUUUUCAAAGUAUUUUUACUAUUAUUUCCCCAUUCAUUGUUUGUGUGAGUUAGGGGUUGUAAACUGGUAGAUUAUAUGGCGUGUAGCUCACUGUGGUUGCAUUGUUUUGUCAACAUGUUGUUGAACAAAUUGGUCAGUCUUCUAAAAAUCUGAAGUUUUGGUUUCUCCUGAAAAGAGCAGAAGAUCUGAUAAUACCGUGCCCACAUUUCAGCAGGAGAACACUCUGCUAGGAGCCUGCCCCCACCCCAUCUGGCUCACCAGCUCCCAUCUGUCACACAUGUGCCUGGGCUCUUUGCCUACCUGCUGGCCUCUUUAUUUGGUUCACCUGGGCACUUAGAGUAUUUGAGUUGACUCUCUUGGGGGUGGCCUCUAUGCUCCUAUUUAUCCUAGGGAUGUGUAUCAAUCAUAUAUACUCUAUAGAAAGUAAAGAUAUCCCUUUAAAUUAAUGUGUUUUCUACUAGUUUUUUCCUGAAAUGUGUUAUCUUUUAAUCUGCCUUUUAGUUUUCUAGUACAGUUUUUGCUUUUUGUAUAGUUAAAUGUAUUUUUACUUUGCUAUGGUUUUAGUUUCUUCACUUUCCUACCCUCCAUCACUUCCUUCCUUCCUUUCCCCUCCUCUUUCUUUCCCUCUUUCCCUCCUCUUCCCUUUACCUUCCCUUCCUUCUUUUUCUUUCUUUUAAAUAAUUCUUUUAGUUUAUAAAAAUUUCCAGUGCUUUUUCCUCUGUUUACUGCCCCCUUUCUCUCUUCCAGUUGACUUUUGCUUUAGAAAGUCUUCCUCUCUCAGGAGGCUUAAAUGAGAUUAAAUGUUAUAUUCCUCAUGUAAGUAAGCUAUGAUUAUUUUUGAUUAAAUAUGUCACACAGGCCUACUCAAAUACUGACUGUGUAUGUAUAAUGGGUUAUGUUUUAGUGGGCUAUUCUUCUCUACUGAUCUGAUUUUUCUUAUGCUUGCAAACAAGGCCUGAUUAUUUUAGCUUUAUGUAUUUUAAUAUUUUGUUAAAAUUAGUUCUUCUUUAAAACAAUUAUUGCUCUCCUGUUUAUACUUUCAAAUCAACUUUAAAAUUAUUUGGUCAAUUUUAGGACAAAAUUUCAUUAGGAUUUGAAUUAGAAUUUUAAUAAAUACACUAAACAUUUUGAGAUAAAAACCUCAUAUUUUAGAAAAAGUAGUCUUCCCAUUUAGGAACAUGUCAGGUCUCUUCUUGAUAUGGUUAGACUUUUUGUCUCCACCCAGUCUCAUCUUGAAUUGUUAUCCCCAUCAUCCCCAUAAUCCCCACCUGUCAAGGGAGAGACCAGGUGGAGGCAAUUGAAUCAUUGGGGCAGUUUCCCCCAUGCUGUUCUCAUGAUAGUGAGUAAGUUCUCACGAGAUUUGAUGGUUUUAUAAGGGGCUCUUCCCCCUUCACUCGGCACUUUUUUUUCCUGCGGCCUUGUGGAGAAGGUGUCUUGCUUCCCUUUUGCCUUCCACCAUGAUUCUAUGUUUCCUGAGGCCUUCCCCAGCCAUGCUGAACUGUGAGUCAAUUAAACUUCUUUCCUUUAUAAAUUACCCAGUCUCGGCAGUUCUUUAUAGCAGUAUGAAAAUAAACUAAUAUACCUCUUUUAUUCAUUUUUUAUAUCUCUCAGUAAAGUAUUGCACUUAUCACAUAGCAUAUUAUUUCUUGUGAUAAUUUAAAUUUUACUUUGUGGUUAUAAAUCAGAUCCCUUUUUAGUUUACUUUGUUCUAUUGCCUUGUGUUGGUGUAUAAGAAUAUGUUUUAUCUGUUAUAGCAACUGUUAAUGAAUUCAAACAGCUUUUCACUUGAUUUCUUUCUGUUUUUAUGUUCUAAAACCAAGUCACCUAUCAUCAUACUUCAGCUCUUUUUUAUGUUUAUAAUUUUAUGUUUUAUGUCUUAAGAACUUUUUGAAAUGAUAUAAAUAACAUGUAUAUUCAUUAGCCAGGGCACGGCAUAUUAUAAGAACUUAAUGAAUGUCAGAUUAUGUUAUUAAUGAUAUCAAUAUUAAAUAACAGUAAUUUCAUGUAUCUGUAUUUUAAUCAUAUUUUAAUGAGAAUUGUUUAUUUUGUCACUGUUAAGUAAAAUGUUGGCUGAUGGUUUGAAUCAUGGAUCUUACUUUAAGAAGUUAAGAAGAUAUAUCCACCAUUGAGAUGAUUACUUUUUAUAACUGAUUUGAAUUUAAGUCUACUGAUGUUCUAUAUUAGUAGGUUUUCUAAUUUGGGGCUAUUACUGGAUUCCUAUAAUAAACAUAAUUUGAUUUGAAGUAAAAGAUUAACUUUUACUAUAUUGAGUUAUUUGCUGGCAUUUUAUUUAAGUUUAUAAUUCCUUUAUUAAGUGACAUUUCAGUUCUAUGUUUUUUUCCUUGUAUUUCUGUUAAGUAUGUAAAAAUUAGGGUAUGUUUCUUAGAACAAACUGGAUUGCUUUUAAUCUUUUCCUGCUUUCUCACAGAACAUAUAAUGUGGGAAAGAUCUGUCCUUGAAAGUCUGAAGGAAUUUGAAGGCAUUUAUUAGUAAAUCUAUGAUGGCAGUGAGUUCCUUUUCUAGGGGCAUGGAUGUAGCUUUUGGAUAACUUUCUCAAUUUAUUUUAAUUUUUAACCUGUUGUGCUAAUUUUGAUAUAUUUUAGUUUACAUAAAGCAUUAAAUGUAUUGAUGUUUUGAAAUUUAUUAACAUACAACCAUGUUGAACUCCGAAGUCUUCUCUAUUUGUUGCAUUCCAUUUCUCAUUUUAAAAAAUUGUAACAUUUUACCCUUUUCUCUUCAUUAGAUUUUUAGUUGUAUGUGUUCUCUGAGCAUUUUGCCCUUCUUUUUUUCUGUAUCAUGGGUUUUAUAAAAUUGUUUUUGGAUACAUUUAUUUUUGGAAUGUUUUUCUGUGACUAUAUUGAAACAACUCAAAACAAAAAAUCAAGAUUUUUCUCCCCGUUUAUUGACAUCCUAUUCACUAGUUUUAGAAUCUUCCCAAAUAUCCA
rnacentral:lncRNA from 10 species